GAAGAAGACACCGGCGUAACUACCGUGCCAGCAGCCGCGGUAAGUACGGAGGGUGCGAGCGUUAAUCGGAAGUUACUGGGCGUAAAGACGCAUGCAGGCGGCCGUCGUUAAGUACAGAUGUGAAAGCCCGGGGCUUAACCUCGGAAUUGCAUUUGAAACUGGCAGGCUAGAGUCUUGUAGAGGGGGGUAGGAAUUUCAGGUGUAGCGGUGAAAUGCGUAGAGAUCUGAAGGAAUACCAGUGGCGAAGGCGGCCCCCUGGACAAAGACUGACGCUCAGAUGCGAAAGCGUGGGGAGCAAACAGGAUUAGAUACCCUGGUAG
rnacentral:rRNA from 1 species